rnacentral:lncRNA from 1 species
CAUGAUUGCCCUUGCCCACGGGCACUACGCUAAAAAAAUAUUUUAUCAAUUUUGAUGAUUCUUUCGAGAACAAAUAAAAUAAAAAAUAAUAAUCACCAAUAAGGUAUCUCUCAAUCAUUUUUUUUUCAGAAAUUACUAACUAACCUAAACUACUAUCUAAUCUAAAACUAAUAUAAGAGAGUUGUUUUGUUUUUCCACCCCCUGACUCCCCCACCCCUCGCUGUGACCUGUUUUUUUGGGCUUUUAAUUUUUAAAAACCGUUCAUUCUUCUUCCUCAAAUUACAAUUUUGCCUUCACUAUUUAUUUCUUUUUAUACCCCUUUAUAUUCUUUUUUUAUUUCACUUUACUACUGAAUUUUUAGUAUAUAAAAAAAUUAAUGAUAAAAGUUUAUAACCCCCUUUAUUUUGUUUUAAUCCCUUUAAUUUUAUUUUUUUAUUUUUACCUUUCACUUCUAAAUUUUUAUAACGACCCUUUAUUUUAUAACUUUUUUUAUUCUCCACCUUAUGUUUUUAAUAUUUUUAAUAUUUUUUAAAAAUUUUGAUGGAUUGAUAUUUAUAUGUGUAUUUGUAUUUGUAGACUAUCCCUUGAAUAUAGAAUAUCUUUUUUAAGUAGUUUGAUUUUAUCAUAAAAAUACCUCAAAAAUAAUAAUUUUUUAACGUAUCAUACAGUAGUAAAUUCAACAUUACAUAAGAGUCAAAACAUAACUUUUCAUCAAUAUAUCAUCCAAAAGAAUUAAUAUUUUUUAUAUAUAAAAAUUCGAAGUGAAAGUAAAAAGAACAAAUAAAAAUAAGGGGUAUUAAAAUAAAAGAAAAGAAGGGAUUAUAAAAAUUUUAUAUUAAAAAUUAUAUAAACAUUCAAAGUGAGUAAAAAAAAUAAAAAUCAAGUGUAAAAACUAACCAAAACCAAUAAUGGGUUUAAAAAAUAUAAAGGGUUUAAUGUGAAAAUGAUAGGGGGGGGGAUGAGGAGAGAGCGUUGAGAGUUAUGAUUGAUAGCAACUGAAGUGCGGGCAGAGAGAGAGUGAAGUGACAUUUUUGGGCGGAAAAAAUAAUUUGAGGUGAAAUUCUGAGCCGUGGAUCAACUCAAAUUGAUUUCAUUCAGCCGUAGAUUAUCGAGAGAUAGAUUGAAUUCAAAUGUAGUUGUGAUUUGAUUAAUAGAUUAUAGCUGUGGAGGAUUUUGGGAGAGGGUGUUGUGUCAGUGGCCACAUCAUGGCUCACCAAUUACCAAUGUAAUUAGAGGCCUUUCCGCUUACAAGCCCAUGUAACUCUAAGGCUAAUGUUUGUGUUUGGUGAGAUAGGCCCGACUGGACAAGCGAUCCAGUUCAGUUCAGCUUUUGUUUGGCAAAAAUAACUCCGGACUAUAGUCUGACGACGACUAAUAGUCUGUAUAGGUGGGACUUUUCUGUCCGGGGGUGGGGUGGGCGAACCUUGUCCCCGGACUAACCUAAGUCGUACUAAUAUAUAAAAUUACUAAUUUGGCCCUUACACAUUGAAUAUUUUCCCCCUCGCUCUCCCUUCUCUCUCUCCCCUCUCCUCGCCUCUCCUCUUUCUUUUUUUUAUAUUUGUUUUUUUUUAUUUAGUUUUUUUAAUAAUUAUUUGUUUAUUUUUUUUAUUCAAUUAAUUUUUUAUCCUGUCUUUGGAUACACCAUUUUUUUUUUGAAAAAUUAACCAUUUUCUAAAAAAUAUUUAAUCGACAAAUAAAAUAUUAAACAAAUAAUUUUGAAAUAUAUAUUUUAUGUACGACAAUUUUUAAAAAAUAUAACAAUUUUUCUUUUAUGAAAAAUUAAGUUAUUGUUUUUUAAAAAAAAUGUUCUUUUUUUCCCCCUCCUCUUUUUUCUCACCUUCUUUUUCUUCCCCCUUCCCUCCACCCCUUCUCCUUUUUCCCCCCCCUCUCUUUUCCGCCCCGGUUUCCUUUUUCCCCCGCCCCCACUUGUUUUCUCUCUACUCCCCCCUCCCUUGCCGGGGUAUGUUGCUCUUUCCUCAUUUGUCUAGUCCGAUUGCUUAGCAAAUCCCCAUGGGACAAGACUGAACUACCCACUUAUCCAGGUUUUGUCCGGAUCAAACACAACACGGUUACCGAUAUAUAAUCGGGGCAAGUAGUCCGACACGAUCCAGCCCAGUCCAUUCCGGAGGCUAUUAGUCCGGAGACUCCUGUCCAUUCCGGCAAACAAAUGAGCCUAAUAGAUCAACCCUAGAUCAGGAUCAGUAGGCUUUGUGAUUGUAUUCAAGUUAUUUAUUAACAAUCUGUAAUUAAAAUAAAAUAUAUUGUUUGAUUUUUUGUACUAAAAAUGGGGACUGUCUCCACGGUGAUGUUUGUGGAAAAAAUGGCACCCUCUUGUAUAAAUGGUUAAUUAUAGUUGCUAAAGAGAGACUGAUAACUAUUGAAAUAUUCAUAGUUUGCCCUCCAAUAUACUUUUAUUAGUUCAUUAUUUUUGUUACUUGAUGCUUUUUAUGUCAUUUUCAUGUUUGUAGGUCUUGGAAUGAGGUUUGCAGCUUUUUAAGGU